rnacentral:rRNA from 1 species
UGGGGAAUAUUGCGCAAUGGGCGAAAGCCUGACGCAGCGACGCCGCGUGAGGGAUGAAGGUUUUCGGAUCGUAAACCUCUGUCGGAAGGGAAGAAGGCGCACCGUGCCAAUCAGCGGUGUGUUGACGGUACCUUCAAAGGAAGCGCCGGCUAACUCCGUGCCAGCAGCCGCGGUAAUACGGAGGGCGCAAGCGUUAAUCGGAAUUACUGGGCGUAAAGCGCGCGUAGGCUGUUUCGUAAGUCAGGGGUGAAAUCCCACGGCUCAACCGUGGAACUGCCCUUGAUACUGCGGGACUUGAAUCCGGGAGAGGGUGGCGGAAUUCCAGGUGUAGGAGUGAAAUCCGUAGAUAUCUGGAGGAACACCGGUGGCGAAGGCGGCCACCUGGCCCGGUAUUGACGCUGAGGUGCGAAAGCGUGGGGAGCAAACAGGAUUAGAUACC